AGGAAAAAAAAAGCUCCGUGAGGGAAACGUUUAACACUUGGCUGAUGCACAAGAGUGACUUAAUACACACAACAAGUCAGGGACCUAUGCCAGCCAAUAAGACAAAGGGAGGGGAAGACUGAUAAAGGGAAAUAAAGAAAGAAAUGGCUGACGUUUGGAGAAGAAUACAUGGGAUAUUUUGCUGCAACAAAUAACAUUUUUUUCCUAACCCUGAAAAUUGCCCCACUUAGACUCCCGUUGGCAGCAAUCACAGAGGCUACAAACCCAGGGUAUGAAGUUUGCCAGUAGGCUCCUAAAGUGUUUCCUGGACUUCCUAUCUUAUGGGAAAAUAAAUAAAUCUUCUUAAACUCUUGCACGCAAAACUCAGAAGGUGAACAGAAUAUCCCUCCCUCUUUCUAACAGGGGCCAAGUUUCUCCCCGGUGACGCCGCCUGAAGUGUGAGGCUUCCUUCUCGGAAGGGAAGAUCCAGCCCGGCUUCACACCCGGUUGUCACCCUCUUCCCCUCUCAUUACUCGUCCUCAACUUUCCGAACAGUUUAUUCGGGAAAAGAAAGAGGUCACACCAGAAGUGUGCGAAUGCACACUUCCUACCAGGACUCCCAUCGAUCGCCCAUAUGAAGAAGACACUUUUAACAGUUUUAAACUCUGGGCAUCUCUAAAGAAGUUAUUAAAAUUAUAGUGUGGAUACAAAACUCUUAGAAGAAAAUAGGACUAAAUCUUCAGAACCUUGGAUUAAGCAAUGGUUUCUUAGAUAUAACACCAAAAGCACAAACAACAAAAACAUAAAUUGUACUACAUCACAAUUAAAAACUUGUGUGCUUCAAAUGAGGAUGCCAUCAAGAAAGUGAAAAGAAAAAAAAAGUGAAAAGAUAACCCACAAAAUGGAAGAAAAUAUUUGCAAAUUAUGUAUCUGUUAAAGAACUCUUAAAAUUCAAUAAUAAAAAGACAAAACUUGGACAAAGAAUCUGAGCAGACAAUUCUCCAAAGAAAAUAAAUGGCCAGCAAGCACACUCCUAGGUAUAGACCCAAGAGGACUGAAAGCAUGUCGACACAAAAUCUGGCAUUAUGAAUAUUCAUUGCAGCAUUAUUAAUAGCCAACAAGUGGAAACCCAAACAUCAUGAGAUGUGGAGCCAGGAACAGCAAGCACCACUGACCUGUGGACUGCAGCAAGCCUAUGCUAAACUAAAGGAAGCCAUCGUGAGGAUGAAAAGGGGACCCUCGUGAGCAAGAGAGGGACGAGGUGAGCAGAACCCUGAGAGAGAAAACCAAAUCAACAGGAAUGGGUGGAAAAGGGGCAAGAGGGAAUGAGGACCUAAUACUUGUCUCAGUAUCACAAAGAACUGUGGUGUCACAGAGCUGAUCUGUAGGCUAAAAUCAUGUUCAACACGUCCUAGUUCAUGCUAUCCAUUAUUCUCACCCUCAGCACAGCCCCUUGGGCUUUAACUGCAAAAAGGACAAUGGCGACUUUUAAUGUGAUCCCUUCAGAUUUUAGAACUCUUAGGUAAUGUUUUUAAGUAUAUCAACGCGGAGGGGGGCAGCGCCAGUGGAUGAACUGGGACUCAAAAUACACUUUCACAUUGGAAACAUAAAAAAAAAAAAAGUAUUCAGUAUAACAACUAUUUACAUAGCAUUUGCAUGUUAUUAGGUAUUGUCAGUAGAGAUGAUUUAAAAUAUAUGGAUGUGCAUGUUAUAUGCAAAUAUUACAACAUUUUAUAUAAGGGACCUGAGCAUCUACAGAUUUUGCUAUCUGAGGCAGCUCCUGGAACCAAUUUCCCAUGAAUACUGAGGGACAGUGUAUUAACAAAUAAUUUGACUAUUGUUUUGCUAUUGUUUUGGUCCCUUGGGAUUUCAUAUGAACUUUUGAUUGGCUUUUCUAUGUCUGUAAAAAAACAACAAAAA